rnacentral:piRNA from 1 species
UUUACUGAAAUUGAAUGUAUU